rnacentral:rRNA from 1 species
UUCCGGUUGAUCCCGCCGGACCCGACUGCUAUCGGAUUGGGAUUUAGCCAUGUUAGUUGUGCGUUCCUUGGCUACAGGGGACGCAGCAUACGGCUCAGUAACACGUAGUCAACCUGCCCUGGAGACGUGGACAAACCCGGGAAACUGGGGCCUAUCCAUGAUAGAUGACCUCAUCUGGAAGGAGAGGUCGUCCAAAAGGGCGCACGGGUAUGCUCUGUGCGAACCGCUCCAGGAUGGGACUGCGGCCGAUCAGGCUGUUGGCGGGGUAAUGGCCCACCAAACCUGUAACCGGUACGGGCUUUGAGAGAAGGAGCCCGGAGAUGGACACUGAGACAAGGGUCCAGGCCCUACGGGGCGCAUCAGGCGCGAAAACUUCGCAAUGCGCGAAAGCGUGACGAGGCUAGUCCGAGUGCUUCCUGCUAAAGGGAGCUUUUCUCGGCUGUAAAUAGGCCGGGGAAUAAGGGGAGGGCAAGUCUGGUGUCAGCCGCCACGGUAAUACCAGCUCCUCGAGUGGUCGGGACGAUUAUUGGGCCUAAAGCACCCGUAGCCGGUUCCGUAAGUCCUCUGUUAAAUCCAGUCGCUCAACGGCUGGCCUGCAGAGGAUACUGCGAGACUAGGAGGCGGGAGAGGCGGACGGUACUCCGCGUGUAGGGGUAAAAUCCUUUGAUCCGCGGAAGACCACCAGUGGCGAAGGCGGUCCGCCAGAACGCGCUCGACGGUGAGGGGUGAAAGCUGGGGGAGCGAACCGGAUUAGAUACCCGGGUAGUCCCAGCCGUAAACGAUGCGAGCUAGAUGAUUCGAUCGCAGUUCGCGAUCGAAGUGUCGCAGGGAAGCCGUUAAGCUCGCCGCCUGGGGAGUACGGUCGCAAGGCUGAAUUGUAGACAGAGAAAUUUGUCUGCACAGUUCACUUAAAAGAAUUGGCGGGGGAGCACCACAAGGGGUGAAGCCUGCGGUUCAAUUGGAGUCAACGCCGGG